CUACCGACAGAAAGAGAUAACAUUCUCUUUUCUUUUGGACAGAUCGAAACAAAAAAAAGUGUCUCUCCGAUGGCGAUUCAAGUCGCGAUGAGAUUCUACGAAAAUCGAAUAGCCAUCGACUCGUUCUUCUCUGAUGUAAACCGGGAUGACAUAUGUUUCAAGAAGAAGCUAUUACACGUCAACACUAAGGAAAAUUAGCUUACUGAACGAUAUCAAAUCUUAGAAGGAGAAAACUCAGAAUAUCUUCAAGAACACAGAAGUAUCACUAUAAGGAGAGUGAAAGCAGCGUGAAGGAAAUAGGAAGAAAAUAGACAGAUAAGUACCGACAAACUAAUGCAGCUAUAUUGUAAUGUUAUCUUUACAAACAAAUUUAUAAUCUUGGAAAAAAUGAAUUAUAACGAAGGUAUCUAACUGAAAAUUGUUUCAGGUUGAUUGAAAUAUCACAUGUAACUGCACGUGUUCAAACAUAUACACCAUGUAAAAAGUCACUUCAAUAAGAUAAGUCGAAAAAAUUAUUACAUGAAACAUUCUUUAUGUUCUUCUGUUAAUGUUUUUUUUCUUUUGUAGGGUCUUUAAAAUUUAUGACUGAAUCAUCAGAAAUAAAUGGAAGCAAAGAUAAAAUUUCAAAUAGUCAGAAGGUUUUGCAUCAGAAGCGAGCAGAAGAGAAGACAUGUAAAGACAAUAUGAGACAUCCAAGAAGUUUUUAAGUUUAACAAACAAAAGUUCACAAUGGCAGGAUGAAGAUGUGAUGAAUAAUGUGGUAUGAUAUUAUAAGCUAAGGUGACUUAUUUCUUUAAUACAGGCAUGUUUAAAAUGUAAUUGAGGCAUUAGUUUCAUAUGUAUAAUAUGUGACAUGUUUAGAAAUAGCUGGUUGCUCAUAUCUUAUUAUAUAAAGGAUAAUUUAUAUA